AACGAACGCUGUCGGCAUGCCUAACACAUGCAAGUCGAACGAGACCUUCGGGUCUAGUGGCGCACGGGUGCGUAACGCGUGGGAACCUGCCCUUAGGUUCGGAAUAACUCCCCGAAAGGGGUGCUAAUACCGGAUAAUGUCUUCGGACCAAAGAUUUAUCGCCUUUGGAUGGGCCCGCGUUGGCUUAGCUAGUUGGUAGGGUAAAAGCCUACCAAGGCGACGAUCCAUAGCUGGUCUGAGAGGAUGAUCAGCCACACUGGGACUGAGACACGGCCCAGACUCCUACGGGAGGCAGCAGUGGGGAAUAUUGGACAAUGGGCGAAAGCCUGAUCCAGCAAUGCCGCGUGAGUGAUGAAGGCCUUAGGGUUGUAAAGCUCUUUUACCCGGGAUGAUAAUGACAGUACCGGGAGAAUAAGCUCCGGCUAACUCCGUG
rnacentral:rRNA from 1 species